rnacentral:rRNA from 1 species
GGAAUCUUCCACAAUGGGCGCAAGCCUGAUGGAGCAACGCCGCGUGAGUGAAGAAGGUCUUCGGAUCGUAAAACUCUGUUGUUAGAGAAGAACACGAGUGAGAGUAACUGUUCAUUCGAUGACGGUAUCUAACCAGCAAGUCACGGCUAACUACGUGCUAG